AAACAGAGACCUCUCUUACCUUCUCCAACCAUGAACACCAGCCAAGAAACAAGAGAAACUCCAGCUCAUUUAACCAAGGAAUCGAGAGAGGGAAACAAAAGAAAACCAGAAAUCUUGUUCCAGUCUAAACCGUGAAGAGACAAUAGGUAAUUAAUUAAGCUCUUCUUCAUUUUCCUGCUAUGCCUGGUUAAUAAUUCCUUGGGAUGAACUAGAACUGAGAAAGGAA
rnacentral:lncRNA from 1 species